rnacentral:rRNA from 1 species
UACAGAGGGUGCGAGCGUUAAUCGGAAUUACUGGGCGUAAAGGGCGCGUAGGCGGUCUUGUAUGUUGGAUGUGAAAUCCCUGGGCUUAACCUGGGAACUGCAUUCAAAACUGCUUGACUAGAGUUUGGUAGAGGGUAGUGGAAUUCCCGGUGUAGCGGUGAAAUGCGUAGAUAUCGGGAGGAACAUCAGUGGCGAAGGCAGCCCCCUGGGUCGACACUGACGCUCAUGCACGAAAGCGUGAGGAGCAAACAGG